UCUCGAUUGGUCUAGUGGUCAGGAUACCUGCUUGUCAACGAGUGAUCUGAAAUUUCGGAUUACUGGCAGCAGAUCGCAGGUGGCCGGGGUUCGAUUCCCCGAUCGAGAG